rnacentral:rRNA from 1 species
AAAGGGGGGUGACGUAUGGCACAUUAAAACAGUUAUAGUUUAUUUGAUAGUCGAUUUUUACUACAUGGAUAACCGUGGUAAUUCUAUGGCUAAUACAUGCGCAAAUACUGUAUAAUCAUAUUUAUUAUGAUUGUACAGUAGUGUUUAUUAGAUACAGAACCAACAGUGCGCCAUCACUUUUUAGUGGUGGUGUCAAAAGAGAAGGUGAUUCAUAGUAACCGAACGGAUCGCAUCAUAUUAUAAUCAUUUCGGUGAUUGGCGAUAGAUCAUUCAAGUUUCUGACCUAUCAUCUUUCGACGGUGGUGUAUUGGACUACCGUGGCAGUGACGGGUAACGGGGAAUUAGGGUUCGAUUCCGGAGAGGGAGCCUGAGAAACGGCUACCACAUCUAAGGAAGGCAGCAGGCGCGCAAAUUACCCAAUCCUGACUCAGGGAGGUAGUGACAAGAAAUAACAACACUGGAAAUUGUAUUUCUAGUGAUUGGAAUGAUGGGAAUCCAAACCCCUUUCAGAGUAACAAUUGGAGGGCAAGUCUGGUGCCAGCAGCCGCGGUAAUUCCAGCUCCAAUAGCGUAUAUUAAAGUUGUUGCAGUUAAAAAGCUCGUAGUUGGAUAUCUGCUGGAAGCAAUCAGUCCGCCCUUUUCGUAAGGGUGUGCACUUGAUGAAUUCUGGCAUGAUUUCAUCCUAAUAAUAAUAUAUUAUUAUAUUUAGGUUGAUUCCUAGUAUAAUAAUAUUUAUUAUUAUGGGGGAUGACAGUUACUUUGAGAAAAUUAGAGUGUUUGAAGCAGGCUUUUGUUGCCUUGAAUACUGCAGCAUGGAAUACAAUAUAGGGAUUUCGGUUCUAUUAUUUUUGUUUGGUUUUUUCUGGUAGGACUGAAAUAAUGAUUAAUAGGGACAGUUGGGGGCAUUCGUAUUUAACUGUCAGAGGAAAAUUCUUAGAUUUGUUAAAACAUUCGAGAAGUUUUUUAAAAAAACAACACAAA